GACGAACGCUGGCGGCGUGCUUAACACAUGCAAGUCGAACGGAAAGGCCCCCUCGGGGGUCCUCGAGUGGCGAACAGGUGAGUAACACGUGAGUAACCUGCCCUUGACUUCGGGAUAACUUCAGGAAACUGGGGCUAAUACCGGAUAGGAAUCCUUGCUGCAUGGUGGGGGUUGGAAAGCUUCGGCGGUUUUGGAUGGACUCGCGGCUUAUCAGCUUGUUGGUGGGGUAGUGGCUUACCAAGGCUUUGACGGGUAGCCGGCCUGAGAGGGCGACCGGCCACAUUGGGACUGAGAUACGGCCCAGACUCCUACGGGAGGCAGCAGUGGGGAAUAUUGCACAAUGGGCGGAAGCCUGAUGCAGCAACGCCGCGUGCGGGAAGACGGCCUUCGGGUUGUAAACCGCUUUCAGCAGGGGCGAAGCUUGUGGUGACGGUACCUGCAGAAGAAGCACCGGCUAACUACGUG
rnacentral:rRNA from 1 species